UAGGGAAUCUUCGGCAAUGGGGGGAACCCUGACCGAGCAACGCCGCGUGAGUGAAGAAGGUUUUCGGAACGUAAAACUCUGUUGUUAGAGAAGAACAGCGCAUAGAGUAACUGUUAUGCGUGUGACGGUAUCUAACCAGAAAGCCACGGCUAACUACGUGCCAGCAGCCGCGGUAAUACGUAGGUGGCAAGCGUUGUCCGGAUUUAUUGGGCGUAAAGCGAGCGCAGGCGGUUAGAAAAGUCUGAAGUGAAAGGCAGUGGCUCAACCAUUGUAGGCUUUGGAAACUGUUUAACUUGAGUGCAGAAGGGGAGAGUGGAAUUCCAUGUGUAGCGGUGAAAUGCGUAGAUAUAUGGAGGAACACCGGUGGCGAAAGCGGCUCUCUGGUCUGUAACUGACGCUGAGGCUCGAAAGCGUGGGGAGCGAACAGG
rnacentral:rRNA from 1 species